UCCUGGCUCAGGAUGAACGCUAGCGGCGUGCCUAACACAUGCAAGUCGAACGUGAGAGGGUACUUGUAUCCUUGAAAGUGGCGGACGGGUGAGUAAGACGUAGGUGACCUGCCUCGAAGUGGGGGAUAACCAUUGGAAACGAUGGCUAAUACCGCAUAAGCUGGUGAUGAUGGGAAUCGUUAUCAGGAAAGCUUUAGUGCUUUGAGAGGGGCCUACGGCCGAUUAGCUAGUUGGUGAGGUAAAGGCUCACCAAGGCGAUGAUCGGUAGCUGGUCUGAGAGGACGAUCAGCCACACGGGAACUGAGACACGGUCCCGACUCCUACGGGGGGCAGCAGUGAGGAAUAUUCGGCAAUGGGGGCAACCCUGACCGAGCAACGCCGCGUGGAGGAUGACGGUUUUCGGAUUGUAAACUCCUUUUCUCAGGGAAGAGCG
rnacentral:rRNA from 1 species